rnacentral:tRNA from 1 species
GAGGGUGUAGCUUAAUGGUAGAGCACUUGAUUAAAAUUCAUAAGGCCCUGGGUUCAAUCCCUAGCACCACUA